rnacentral:rRNA from 1 species
UAGGGAAUCUUCGGCAAUGGACGAAAGUCUGACCGAGCAACGCCGCGUGAGUGAAGAAGGUUCUCGGAUCGUAAAACUCUGUUGUUAGAGAAGAACAAGGACGUUAGUAACUGAACGUCCCCUGACGGUAUCUAACCAGAAAGCCACGGCUAACUACGUGCCAGCAGCCGCGGUAAUACGUAGGUGGCAAGCGUUGUCGGGAUUUAUUGGGCGUAAAGCGAGCGCGGGCGGUUUCUUAAGUCUGAUGUGAAAGCCCCCGGCUCAACCGGGGAGGGUCAUUGGAAACUGGGGGACUUGGGGGAGGAAGAGGAGAGUGGAAUUCCAUGGGUAGCGGUGAAAGGGGAAGGUAUAGGGAGGAACACCAGUGGGGAAGGCGGCUCUCUGGACUGUAACCGACGCUAAGGCUCGAAAGCGUGGGGAGCAAACAGG